rnacentral:lncRNA from 1 species
ACUCAUAAAUAGCUAUUGGUAGAAAUGUUAUCACAAACAACUUUCUAAGGAUAGAAGUUUUCUUUUUUUUUUUUUUUAUUUACUGUGUUUGUUGUUUUUUUUUUGCAGGGCUGGGAACUGAACCCAAGGCCUUAUGCGUGACAGGCAAAUGCUCUGUCUCUAAGCUGCUUUCCAGCCUGCAACUUUCCUAUUAAAUAUGUCUGAAUAUACAAGAGUGAACUAUAGAGCAGUCUGGGAUUCUUAAAUAUAUAUCUCUCUGCAGUAUAAUCCUCAAGCCUUCUCAGGGUUUUUAAACUGUAAAUCUGCAUAAAUGUGGACAUAAAUAUAGAGCUGCAUCUGCCUGAAGAGAGGAAAAUGGUUCCAGCCCCAACUCUGCCCCCGCCCAUGCACGCAGGGUCAUACUCGGCAGGAUUGUACUCAAUGUAGCAAGAAAGGGGGAAUAAGACAAAGCUCAGCCUCUUGGGGGCACUGGCUGAACUGAGAUGUAGAAGCUCCAGGAGGACUGGAAAUGCGGAAGCGGGGUGAGCACUGGGGGAUGGGGGAGAUUCCCGACUGAAAACCAACCUAGAGAGUGUGGGCCAACCACGCCACCUCUGCAGACGCAGGCCUGGGGAUGAGGACAUCUGCAAGUCGGUCCCCGGGAAAUCCUGUCUUACACAUCUGCACCACAAGGCGCUACUUAUUUUUGCCUCUAAAAUGCUGUGUUCGGGCGAAUGCUGCUGCCCCUUCCUUGGGGAAGACGCCCCUGACUGCGCUCAUGCUCACCUCGGUCAGCCACGGCCAGGUCUUCUCUCGGCAGACCCAUCCCACACGGGGUCCUUGUCCCUUCUGAAGGAGCGAGGACCAUGGCCACAGGCAACACCACCACAGGUGAUGUGCAGGCGCAGGGAAACGCUUCUGAGGUGUGUAGAAUGGAGCCCGGCACAAGGUAAGUCUCUGUUACAGAACCAUCGCUAUCAACACGGGCAUCACCGCUGUUUGUGUGACACCAGCUUAGUGAACCAGGAAAGACACACGAGUUUUCAUCCUGAAAACUCAAGACACGCGCAAGCCACAUGA